UUGAGAGGAUCCUGAAGUAUAUAUUGCUAUUAGUUGACAGUCUAUUUAAUGAUCCAAUCUAAUCCACACCAGGAAUGGGCCAUACUUUUCAAGCUCAAUUAGAUCCCACUAGCUCUGAUUCAGAUUUUUUGGGUUUAUUUUCUGCUUACUCUGAGUUUGAAGCAGGUCAUUCCAAUCACUUGCAGCUCUAUGUUCGCAGCUUGAUUCUAAUAGUUUUGGUUCCAAUCUGAUAAUGGUUAUUUCUGAUCAGACUUUGAUUGGAAGCAUAUCAAUCCAAGCACUUGCCAGCCCUUGGCCGCCCAGAAAUUGGUUUUUCAUUCAUUUUCAAUCAUAAGGCUGCCUUCCUUGCUGAAAAUUAGCUAGUCUAAUUCGUAGUGUUUCAAUAGGCUGCACUUUUGAGACGGAGUCCCUCUGUGCAGGUUUUGCAAAGUCUAAGGGUUUAGACCCAAUUCAAGAAGAA
rnacentral:lncRNA from 1 species